UAGUUUAAGCUUACAGUGUUCCUGAUGGGU
rnacentral:piRNA from 1 species